rnacentral:sRNA from 2 species
GCGGGGGUGCUGUCGAACGGAGCCGGGGAACCACGUUCCCCCGGGGUGAAUCGGCGCCAGGUCGGCCGCCGCGCGCGGCCGGUGAGGCGUCGUAGGGCAAUCUCUUCCAGCCCGAACCCGUCAGCUCACCCGGUAGGCGGUCGAGGAAGAAGGA